GUCUUUGAGGUGUAAUUAGAAAGCGUAUCCGGCUAGCAAUCGGAGAUCCUGAGUUCGAAUCCCGGCAGGGACA
rnacentral:tRNA from 1 species